rnacentral:rRNA from 1 species
AUGGCCUCUAGCUGCAUAAUUUCACUCCCGCCUCCAUAUUACACAUCGCUGGCUAUGUCGCCCUUUUGCGAGCUAUUUCUGGGCUGCGAAGCUCAUUUCGAGCUAUGGAAGAGGCUAUUCUGCCUUGUACCCCGUACACAGGAGGGGCCAAUAUACCAAGUGGGCGGAGCCGAAAUAUGGCGCAUCGCCGGAACCGGAUACCUGUCCGGUAGUCCGAAGAAGACAUCCGAGGACUGGCCUUCGGAGUGGUUUUAUAUGGAGGACGUCCCCCUUCCGGACCCUAUUCGGAUGGGCCUUCCUGAGUUCGACAAUGCUCCCUUGAAGAAACGCCGCAACUGGCGCCCUCGGAGCCCUCAGGAGGAAGAUAACGGGGAAGUCCUCUACCUGAUGAGUCGGAUACAGACGCUGGCCCAGUCAGGAUUGACAGUUAUUGAGGUUAUGUCAAUAUGUAUAAUGCGUGGGGUACAACCACUUCAAUAUCGGGGGCAACCCAUGUGUCACUUCAACGGAGAAGACGAUGCCACCCGCUGCGGUCGUAAGGGACCGGACUCAGUCGCUGCUCUAGCAAAAAUUCUGUCCGAUUUGUACAAAGGAGAGGAAGAGGAGUUCAUCCGUAUAAAGCCACGGGAUGGAUUCUCCAUGUACAACCCUCCAAGCUGGGUGAGCUGUCACUUUUUACUCCCAACCUUCCCGCAUUCUUCGUCAUAA